rnacentral:rRNA from 1 species
UACGGAGGGUGCAAGCGUUUGUCCGGAAUCACUGGGCGUAAAGGGCGCGUAGGCGGCUCAUGAAGGCUGUGGUGAAAGUCCGGGGCUCAACCUCGGAUCGGCCGUGGCGACUCGUGGGCUGGAGCACUGUAGAGGCGGGUGGAAUUCCGGGUGUAGCGGUGGAAUGCGUAGAGAUCCGGAAGAACACCAGUGGCGAAGGCGGCCCGCUGGGCAGUGGCUGACGCUGAGGCGCGACAGCGUGGGGAGCAAACAGG